rnacentral:misc_RNA from 1 species
CAUUUUUCACGAAUAAUCACCAAACAAAGGAAAACAUGAAAUUUUCACUUCAUGAAAGGGCAGCUGCCAAAAUUUAAGCUGUGCUCGUACAGAUAUUGAAAGAGAAAUUACAUGGCAAAGCUCCUUUACUGUAGGAAAGAAAGACCAAACAUUAUGAUUACUUUUUGGAUGAACGGAAACCACCAAAUCCCAUCAUGGCAGCAACAUCAGGAUCAACAUCGGCUUCCUCCUCUUCUGCUGCCUUCUCUUUCUUUUUCUCUUUCUUUCUUUCUCGGCGUUGACGCUUCCUUUCCUCCUCUUCUUGCUGCUGUUUUAGGAUCCUUUCAUCAAGAUCUUGCUCUGUGAAGCUGCCAGGACUUUUCCGUUUCUUGAGACUUUCAAAUCGCUGUUGAACCUGCUCAAGAGAUGCCCGCUCCACCCGCAUAGACAUGCCCAAAGCUCUUUGAUGUUUCUUUCCAUUGAUGUGAUCCAAGUAGUUUGCAGAAUCCUUCACCACACAUUCACAUACUGAACAAUAGUAUCCAGCCUGCUGGCUUAGAGGUGCUAUAGGAGUGACAACCUGAGUUUUCCCCAAUCGAGACUCAAGGUCUACUUCAUAAUCCCUAUGCUUCAAGGGUUUUCUUUGCACUGGUGGAGCUUUAGAUUUGGAUUUGAAACGCGACUCAGUCUCCUGCUUUUCACGCUCACGAGCUCGUUCUAAAUACUCUUCUCGAUCGAAUUUUCUUCUAAAUGUGUUAUCAACACCAACAGCAUUGUUAUGAUCCAUUUAAUCCAAAACUCUUGACCUGAAAACAGAGACAGAACUCAGAGAUAUGUAUAUAUAUAUAUAUAUAUAUGUGUGUAUCAAA